rnacentral:rRNA from 1 species
UACGGGGGGGGCAAGCGUUGUUCGGAAUUACUGGGCGUAAAGGGCUCGUAGGCGGCCAACUAAGUCGGACGUGAAAUCCCCAGGCUCAACCUGGGAACUGCGUCCGAUACUGGAUGGCUUGAAUCCGGGAGAGGGAUGCAGAAUUCCAGGUGUAGCGGUGAAAUGCGUAGAUAUCUGGAGGAACACCGGUGGCGAAGGCGGCAUCCUGGACCGGCAUUGACGCUGAGGCGCGAAAGCGUGGGGAGCAAACAGG